AUGAAGGGGUCGGCCACUAUGACGGUGCGGGACGUGCUGUACAUGUACAGUGUGGCACGGCAGGCGUACGAGCGGUUCAUGUCCGUCUGCGGCAACCCGGAGCAGGCCCGAAACAUGGUGGCCUUGCUGGUGUGGCUGGACCAGGGCACCAUCUCGGCCAUCCACCACGUCCCAGGCAUUGAUGCUGGCGCUGUGGCCAUCAUCGCGGAGGAGUCCAAUGCCGUCCUUGAGUGCCUGCACUACCCGCUGCAUGUGCUCCCGCCCAUCCCGCUUAUCUCCACGCUCUGCAUGCAAGGCGGUGUCUACAUCGAGCCGGGUUUCUUUGCCUUCCACCAGGACCUCGUCGUCCGCGGCGUCGCCCACUUCCUCGAAGGCGCCGGUAAGUUCGUCUUCGACGACCGCUUGAAUGUAUUGCUCAGGAGAUCUGAGACUGGCCUGGUUGGGAACCCGCCGGAGCUCAUGGCUCCCUACAGCCCCCUUCCGAUGGCGGUACCGGAGGACUGCCGCUCCAUGUUUGUCACCUUUUCCAAGACCAUGCCUCUCCAUCGUGAAGAGGUCUUUGACUACUUCAGGGAGAAAUGGGGUGAUUGUGUGGUGAGGGUGCUCAUGGAGAAGACGACAGGAGGAAACAUGCCCACGUAUGGCCGAAUCAUCUUCAAGACAGAGGCGAUCGUGAACCUGGUGCUCAACGGUGAGAGGCUCGUCAAGAUCUCUAUCGACCACCGUGAGAUUUGGCUGCGCAAAUACAUUCCCAGGGUAACCAACGUCGACGCCUGA
rnacentral:rRNA from 1 species